UCUUUGCUUCUGAAGCCGCGUUGACUUCAAGUACCAGAAUGCAUUGCGUUUGCCGAGACAUGACCCCACAGUUUACUGAAACGCCAUCUAGAGAAUCAACUGUGAAACUGCAACUAUAAUUACAUUGCAUAUUUAUUAGGAUCUUUAUUAGAGUUUAUGUUUAUUUUUGUUAUACUCACUUGUCGAAUGAACAGUAGAUUAGUUAAUUAUAGAAAUAUGAUCUUCAGUCACUUUAUUUAUUAGGUACACCUGUUCAACUGCUCGUAAGCGCAAAUAUCAAAUCAGCCAAUCACUUGGUAGCAACUUAGCAUCCAGGCAUGUAGACAUGGCCAAUAUUAUCUGCUGAAGUUCAAACUGAGCAUCAGAAUGUGGAAGAAAGGUGAGUUAGGUGACUUUCAUUAAAGUUUUAUGAUUGGUGGUGUCAGGCAGGCUGGUUUGAGUAUUUUACUGCUGCUCGACUGAGAUUAUUGCAGACAACCAUCUUUAGGAUUUACAGAGAAAAUAUCCUGUGAGCAUGGUUGAUGUCUGCUUCAAGCUCAUAGGAAGGCAACAGUAACUCAAAUGGCAAUUCACCACAACUAAGAUGUGCAGAACAGCAUCUCUAAAUGCACAACUCGUGCAACGUUGAAGAACAUUAGCUACAGUAUCAGAAGACCACAGCGGGUUCCACACAAGUUGCAGCUAAGAACAGGAAAUUGGACAAUAGAAGAUUGGGGGGAAAAAAACAUUGCAUGAUCUGAUAAGUCUUAAUUUCUGCUGAAACAUUCUGAUGGUAGGGACAGAAUUUGGUAUAAGAUGAAAGCAUGGAUCCAUCUUGCCUUGUAUCAGCUGCUCAUGCUAAUGCUGAUGGCGCAAUGGUGUGAGAGAUAUUUUCUUUGGAACACUUUGGGGUUCUUAGUACUAACUGAGCAUCAUUUAAAUGCCACAGUCUACCUGAAUUCUGCUGUUAGCCAUGUCCAUCUGUUUACACUGUGGCUAUCUUCUAUUGACUGUUUCCAGCUGGAUAACCGUGUUCAAAUGAUCUCAAACUGGUUUCUUGUACAUGUUCACUGUACUCAAAUGACCUCCACAGUCAUCAGAUAUCAAUCCAAUAGAGCACCCUUGGGAUGUGAUACAAUGGGAGAUUUGGGUCAUGGAUGUGCAGCUGACAAAUCUGCAACUAUCUGUAACUAAAAAAGGGGGCUAAUGAAUAUAAAUAUAUUUUAAAAAAUCACAAAAAAUAUUUAAUAUUUUGUUUAUGUUCUUCUUUAUUAGAGAAUGGAAAAAGUUUAUUAUAAAAGUAGCUGGCAAUUAAGUACUUUUAGAAGUCUUGUUAAAUGGUCAAAAGGUAUCUGUCAUAAAUCGGCUCAUGAACUACGUUGACUGACACCAAGUUGUGGUCAUGUGAUCAAAGAGUGCAAAGAGUGUCAGCUUUUUUGUGUAAAAAUUUGAAUGCCAAACAACUGAGGACCUGAUUCAAAUCUAGUACUUCACAAGGUGACAGAGCACUGUCUUAUUGUUUUUAACCUUUGACACACGUGAAUGUGAAAGAAAAACUGUGUCAGCGGGACUUCCAUUCAGUGGUAAUUCUUGGUACUGACAGUCCUUGGCAGCAGUUUGAGGAAGUUGUCUACUGAAUGCUGUUUGUUUUGUUCAGCUACACCUGCCUGGGGACUUCAGGAGCAGCUGAGCUGAAAUGGAGUACAAAAGGAAGUCAAUUUUUGACUUUUAUCAACACUAUAAAUAUUACCAUUUCUAUUCAAUCUGCUUUGGACUGGGAUGUGGAAUGGCUUUCUAUAGGCCAUUUCGAACACUCGCAGUUCCAGUAUGUAAUGGUAUAUUUUGCACCAUAGCGUUUGAGAUUCUUGGCAUUUUUACUGACAUGCCUGCCCAUACUAAAAGAUGUAAAGGUGCGCCCUACAACAAAGGAGAUACCUACUGGGGAUUUGCUGUUGCACUAUUUGUUGCUUUGUUGCACCUCCACUCAUAUCAUGUUUACACACUAUCGUAUGGAUGUGGAAUCAUAACGUUUGCUCUUAGAGGAGCAAAACGGAAAUACAGCUCUCUGAGGAAGCUGAGAGAGAGAACGAGAACCUGGUGGUAGUGAUUUUAAAAUUACAGUGGGGGGAUUUACAGGAAGCUAUUUAAGUGGUAUUUAAGAUGACGAGAUGGCGACGUUUUAUGUCACCGUAGAAACAAACACUGUAGUUUCCUCUUUUUUUCCACUAUAAAUGUCUCUGCAAUCUUGUGAAUGUAUGUUAUACCAAUACACUGAAGUUCAUCUGACUUUCAUAAGAUGGGCCUGUCUCAUACCAAUGCAUGCU